rnacentral:rRNA from 2 species
UUAAGCGACUAAGCGUACACGGUGGAUGCCUAGGCAGUCAGAGGCGAUGAAGGGCGUGCUAAUCUGCGAAAAGCGUCGGUAAGCUGAUAUGAAGCGUUAUAACCGACGAUACCCGAAUGGGGAAACCCAGUGCAAUACGUUGCACUAUCGUUAGAUGAAUACAUAGUCUAACGAGGCGAACCGGGGGAACUGAAACAUCUAAGUACCCCGAGGAAAAGAAAUCAACCGAGAUUCCCCCAGUAGCGGCGAGCGAACGGGGAGGAGCCCAGAGUCUGAAUCAGUUUGUGUGUUAGUGGAAGCGUCUGGAAAGUCGCACGGUACAGGGUGAUAGUCCCGUACACCAAAAUGCACAGGCUGUGAACUCGAUGAGUAGGGCGGGACACGUGACAUCCUGUCUGAAUAUGGGGGGACCAUCCUCCAAGGCUAAAUACUCCUGACUGACCGAUAGUGAACCAGUACCGUGAGGGAAAGGCGAAAAGAACCCCGGCGAGGGGAGUGAAAUAGAACCUGAAACCGUGUACGUACAAGCAGUGGGAGCACCUUCGUGGUGUGACUGCGUACCUUUUGUAUAAUGGGUCAGCGACUUAUAUUUUGUAGCAAGGUUAACCGAAUAGGGGAGCCGUAGGGAAACCGAGUCUUAACUGGGCGUCUAGUUGCAAGGUAUAGACCCGAAACCCGGUGAUCUAGCCAUGGGCAGGUUGAAGGUUGGGUAACACUAACUGGAGGACCGAACCGACUAAUGUUGAAAAAUUAGCGGAUGACUUGUGGCUGGGGGUGAAAGGCCAAUCAAACCGGGAGAUAGCUGGUUCUCCCCGAAAGCUAUUUAGGUAGCGCCUCGUGAACUCAUCUUCGGGGGUAGAGCACUGUUUCGGCUAGGGGGCCAUCCCGGCUUACCAAACCGAUGCAAACUCCGAAUACCGAAGAAUGUUAUCACGGGAGACACACGGCGGGUGCUAACGUCCGUCGUGAAGAGGGAAACAACCCAGACCGCCAGCUAAGGUCCCAAAGUCAUGGUUAAGUGGGAAACGAUGUGGGAAGGCACAGACAGCCAGGAUGUUGGCUUAGAAGCAGCCAUCAUUUAAAGAAAGCGUAAUAGCUCACUGGUCGAGUCGGCCUGCGCGGAAGAUGUAACGGGGCUAAACCAUGCACCGAAGCUGCGGCAGCGACACUUAGGUGUUGUUGGGUAGGGGAGCGUUCUGUAAGCCGUUGAAGGUGACCUGUGAGGGUUGCUGGAGGUAUCAGAAGUGCGAAUGCUGACAUAAGUAACGAUAAUGCGGGUGAAAAACCCGCACGCCGGAAGACCAAGGGUUCCUGUCCAACGUUAAUCGGGGCAGGGUGAGUCGACCCCUAAGGCGAGGCUGAAAAGCGUAGUCGAUGGGAAACAGGUUAAUAUUCCUGUACUUGGUGUUACUGCGAAGGGGGGACGGAGAAGGCUAGGCUGGCCGGGCGACGGUUGUCCCGGUUUAAGCGUGUAGGGGGAGUGACCAGGUAAAUCCGGUUGCUUAUCAACCCUGAGGCGUGAUGACGAUGCACUACGGUGCAGAAGCAGUUGAUGCCAUGCUUCCAGGAAAAGCCUCUAAGCAUCAGGUAACAUUAAAUCGUACCCCAAACCGACACAGGUGGUCAGGUAGAGAAUACUCAGGCGCUUGAGAGAACUCGGGUGAAGGAACUAGGCAAAAUGGUGCCGUAACUUCGGGAGAAGGCACGCUGGCGUUAGGUGAAAGGACUAGCUCCUGGAGCUGAAGCCAGUCGCAGAUACCAGCUGGCUGCAACUGUUUAAUAAAAACACAGCACUGUGCAAACACGAAAGUGGACGUAUACGGUGUGACGCCUGCCCGGUGCUGGAAGGUUAAUUGAUGGGGUCAGCCGCAAGGCGAAGCUCUUGAUCGAAGCCCCAGUAAACGGCGGCCGUAACUAUAACGGUCCUAAGGUAGCGAAAUUCCUUGUCGGGUAAGUUCCGACCUGCACGAAUGGCGUAAUGAUGGCCAGGCUGUCUCCACCCGAGACUCAGUGAAAUUGAACUCGCUGUGAAGAUGCAGUGUACCCGCGGCAAGACGGAAAGACCCCGUGAACCUUUACUAUAGCUUGACACUGAACAUUGAGCCUUGAUGUGUAGGAUAGGUGGGAGGCCUUGAAGUGUGGACGCCAGUCUGCAUGGAGCCAACCUUGAAAUACCACCCUUUAAUGUUUGAUGUUCUAACUCGGCCCCAUGAUCUGGGGUGAGGACAGUGUCUGGUGGGUAGUUUGACUGGGGCGGUCUCCUCCCAAAGAGUAACGGAGGAGCACGAAGGUUAGCUAAUCACGGUCGGACAUCGUGAGGUUAGUGCAAAGGCAUAAGCUAGCUUGACUGCGAGAGUGACGGCUCGAGCAGGUACGAAAGUAGGUCUUAGUGAUCCGGUGGUUCUGAAUGGAAGGGCCAUCGCUCAACGGAUAAAAGGUACUCCGGGGAUAACAGGCUGAUACCGCCCAAGAGUUCAUAUCGACGGCGGUGUUUGGCACCUCGAUGUCGGCUCAUCACAUCCUGGGGCUGAAGUAGGUCCCAAGGGUAUGGCUGUUCGCCAUUUAAAGUGGUACGCGAGCUGGGUUUAGAACGUCGUGAGACAGUUCGGUCCCUAUCUGCCGUGGGCGUUGGAAGAUUGAGAGGGGCUGCUCCUAGUACGAGAGGACCGGAGUGGACGAAUCACUGGUGUUCGGGUUGUCAUGCCAAUGGCAUUGCCCGGUAGCUAAAUUCGGAAGAGAUAACCGCUGAAAGCAUCUAAGCGGGAAACUUGCCUCGAGAUGAGUCUUCCCUGGGGCUUAAAGCCCCCUGAAGGAACGUUAAAGACUAUGACGUUGAUAGGCUGGGUGUGUAAGUGCAGCGAUGUAUUGAGCUAACCAGUACUAAUGAUCCGUGAGGCUUAACCUU